GAACCGAUAAAGGCUUAUCCUCCUCAAAUAAACUUAACUUUGACAUAUCAAGAGCUUCAAUUGGAAUCGAAGUUGUUCGAUCCGCUCUACAUUGACGCUUCGUAUGCAGCCCACCAUGGGUCGACGGGGAGUAAGUUUUUGGCGAAUCUAAAUCUAGGGUUUUAGAAUUCGGAGACGGAAACUGAAAGGGUUUCCAAGAAUGGAGAUGAUACGUACACGAUUCAAUGGCGUGACGUGAAUCUAGAGUCUUAGGCGACAUUGAAACUUCAUGAAAACACCCUACAAUGGAG
rnacentral:misc_RNA from 1 species